AUGAGCGUCAUUGCCUAAAGUCGUGUGGAAGACUGAUCUUUUACAUCAGUCAUUUAAAUUUGGAUCCAUUUCAUGGCUUGUUUACUUGGUAAUCGUAAUAAAUUCCGUAAGUGCAGUUGUUGGAGACGCAGUCCAAAUGAGUCCCAUUUCUAAAAUCGUCCACGCUGCCAUUGCUCCGCAUAUUAUAGCAACAAAGGCGUAAGAGAGGCUCGUGAUACAAAUGGCAAGGAUUGUACCUUUAG